rnacentral:rRNA from 1 species
UACAGAGGGUGCGAGCGUUAAUCGGAAUUACUGGGCGUAAAGCGCGCGUAGACGGUUUUGUAAGUCAGAUGUGAAAUCCCUGGGCUCAACCUGGGAACUGCAUUUGAAACUGCAUGGCUAGAGUAUGGAAGAGGGAAGUGGAAUUUCCGGUGUAGCGGUGAAAUGCGUAGAUAUCGUAAGGAAGACCAGUGGCGAAGGCGGGUCUCUGGACAGUUCCUGACGCUGAGGCACGAAGGCUAGGGGAGCAAACGGG